rnacentral:rRNA from 1 species
CCCUUAGAUGUCCUGGGCCGCACGUGCGCUACACUGACGGAGGCAGCGAGCUUACCCCUUUGCCGAAAGGCAUGGGAAAUCUUUUGAAUCUCCGUCGUGCUGGGGAUAGAUCAUUGCAAUUAUUGAUCUUGAACGAGGAAUUCCUAGUAAGCGCAAGUCAUCAACUUGCGUUGAAUACGUCCCUGCCCUUUGUACACACCGCCCGUCGCUCCUACCGAUUGAGUGGUCCGGUGAGGCUUUGGGAUCUGAGCGGAAAGAGCGUUUCGCUGUUUCUGCUCGGAAAACUCAGUCGAACCUUAUCAUUUAGAGGAAGGAGAAGUCGUAACA